GACGAACGCUGGCGGCGUGCUUAACACAUGCAAGUCGAACGGUGAACCGCGCUUGCGCGGGGAUCAGUGGCGAACGGGUGAGUAACACGUGGGCAACCUGCCCCCGGCUCUGGGAUAACCCCAAGAAAUUGGGGCUAAUACCGGAUGUGACCGCUGGCCGCAUGGCCUGGUGGUGGAAAGAUUUAUCGGCUGGGGAUGGGCCCGCGGCCUAUCAGCUUGUUGGUGGGGUAGUGGCCUACCAAGGCGACGACGGGUAGCCGGCCUGAGAGGGUGACCGGCCACACUGGGACUGAGACACGGCCCAGACUCCUACGGGAGGCAGCAGUGGGGAAUAUUGCGCAAUGGGCGAAAGCCUGACGCAGCGACGCCGCGUGGGGGAUGACGGCCUUCGGGUUGUAAACCUCUUUCAGCAGGGACGAAGCCGCAAGGUGACGGUACCUGCAGAAGAAGCACCGGCCAACUACGUGCCAGCCGCCGCCGUAACAC
rnacentral:rRNA from 1 species